UCACAAUAUUUGUAUUUCUUUUUUCAGUCUGGAGAUGCCUUUGUUUCUGCAAUUCUAAAUGUAGAUGCAAACGUGUCAAAGCUAUUUUAGUCAAUUUGUCUGGAUCUGCAGCUUUGUUUGUAGGGGUUGCUAGGUGCAGCUGUCUGUCUGUCUGUCUGUCUAAGUAUUGAAGGGGGACAGCUGUCUGUCUAAGUAUUGAAGGGGGACAGCUUUAGGGCUUUGAGGAACAAGCAGUCCACACUAAAUUAUGUCCUUGUUAACAGGGGUGACAUGACAACGAGCCAAGGACAUUCCACAGACUACCCGUUAUCCUCAAGAGCACAAUGGAGGUAACCUGGGCAACUGUCAUUCUUCUCCGUUCCUUCUUUUCCUCCUCCUCCCUCUUCCUUCUCCAUAGGGGGAGUGUGUGUGUGUGUGUGUGUGUUAAAAAGAGACCCCAAAAUGGUAAACAAGCACGGGUCGGGCAUUCAGACAAUGGCAAAGAGCUGACAUCACUCCUGCUGCAUCACACUAACACAUGACUGACGCCACUCCACUGUCCCACAGAGGAGGGGGUUGAGGAAAACAGAGGAGAACCUCUUUAAGUUUCCAGUCCAGUGCAGAACUACCACUGACACGAGAGAGGACACGAGGAAGUGGGAGUAGUGAAGCAGAAAGAGAAGAGUUCUCCAGACAACGCUGUAUCUUGCUACAGCCGAGAGAAGCUUAGACCAAACAUAGAUUCUAUAAGAAUACUGAUUGAUUUUCAGCCCAGAUUGUAGAACUUGAAGCCUAUCAUGAUGGAAGUGGUCCUGACUAGACUGAGAGACUUCUCCUCUAAGGACGCCACCUUUGAUGCCUGUAAGUCAACUGGGCCCGUUGUGUCCGGCGACCCACGGACCAUUAGAGACCCCUGCCCAGAGGAAGGGCUCCGGAUGGCAGGCUGCAUGGCCGGAGUACAAAGCAGCAGCACCUACAAACUGGACAUUGAGAGUGCACUGGCCUGGCUGCGCAGGGAACUGAUGGAGAUGCGAUCUCAGGACCAGGCCUUGAUACGACAGCUGAUGGACCUUCACGCUGGAAUACAAGAGCUCAAGCUGGAGUGUGCCGAAGCAGAGGAGGAGGAAGAGGAGGAUGACGAGACAGAGGAGGAAGGGAGCUGGGACUUUGGUAGUGAGGCAGGGGGCAGUGGUAGUAGUGUUUACUCCAGCUCAGGGGAAGUGGGCUUUUCCAUAUCUUGCCUGUCCACUAGAAUGACUCCACCUCCUCUGGGGUCAUCUCUACCUAGAAGGACUUCCAGCAGAAGAAGCUCCUUGCCUUAAUAAAACAACAAACAGUAGUCUCUUAUGGACCAACCGUGGUCAAUGUGUAGGUCAAUGUCACCGUCAUAUACCACAGUAUCAUCUAUUCUAUUGUCACCGUGUUUGCAAAGAAAAUCACACAAGCAUAUAUUUUGAAUAGGCUGCAAUAGAUUCCAUAUAGAACCUAAAGAUAAUAUAUAGAUUUAAGGCUUAGAUUGACCUAAGGCAAUCAUAUUUGCCUAAUGCCUUAUUGUGUUAGGAAGUUGAAUAAGGGUUUGUGUGUGUGUGUGUGNNNNNNNNNNCAAGAGCUCAAGCUGGAGUGUGCCGAAGCAGAGGAGGAGGAAGAGGAGGAUGACGAGACAGAGGAGGAAGGGAGCUGGGACUUUGGUAGUGAGGCAGGGGGCAGUGGUAGUAGUGUUUACUCCAGCUCAGGGGAAGUGGGCUUUUCCAUAUCUUGCCUGUCCACUAGAAUGACUCCACCUCCUCUGGGGUCAUCUCUACCUAGAAGGACUUCCAGCAGAAGAAGCUCCUUGCCUUAAUAAAACAACAAACAGUAGUCUCUUAUGGACCAACCGUGGUCAAUGUGUAGGUCAAUGUCACCGUCAUAUACCACAGUAUCAUCUAUUCUAUUGUCACCGUGUUUGCAAAGAAAAUCACACAAGCAUAUAUUUUGAAUAGGCUGCAAUAGAUUCCAUAUAGAACCUAAAGAUAAUAUAUAGAUUUAAGGCUUAGAUUGACCUAAGGCAAUCAUAUUUGCCUAAUGCCUUAUUGUGUUAGGAAGUUGAAUAAGGGUUUGUGUGUGUGUGUGUGUCUGUCUGUCUGUCUGUCUGUCUGUCUGUCUGUCUGUCUGUCUGUGUGCGCGCUUGUGUGUGUGUCGAUGUGUGUGUCUGUGUGCACGCGUGUUUGCAUGUGAGAGAAAAAUAUAUUUUAAUGAGACAAUUGACAGACUGCAGAGCUUACACUUACUAAGUAAGCUGUGUAACUUUUCAACUCUAACUAGAUGGAAGAAACAACAGCAGCUGCUAUCCCUGUACAAAGGUCAUAACAGUAUAAUAGUACAUUUAAGAGAGAAUAUCCAUUACUUACAGUAGUAUAUUGACUGUGAUGUCUCAACAAUGGAUUUGUAAAAACUCUUGUAAUAGUGACUAUAAAAGCGAUUUAAAUAUCACGACAAUUCACGAUCUUCCAUAUUACUUGAAAAUGUCUGUCAUUACUGAAAUACAGUAUUUUCGAAGGUCUAAUUAAUAUGCAGUUAUCAUCCACUCACAUACCGUAUAUAGUGAUUUGUUGUACAACACUGUAAUUGAACACCGAUGUCAAUAGACUAAAACAUGAAUGUCACUAACAUACAGUGUAUGUACUUAUUAUAAUGAAUGACAACACACCUUAGAUUGAGCUGGCCUUUUGCAGUUUGGCCUUUUGCAGUAGUUCAAGUUGGCCGACCCAGCAGACUCAUACAACAUAAUGAAUGGUCAAGUUAACAAAAAAAUCNNNNNNNNNNUGAGACAAUUGACAGACUGCAGAGCUUACACUUACUAAGUAAGCUGUGUAACUUUUCAACUCUAACUAGAUGGAAGAAACAACAGCAGCUGCUAUCCCUGUACAAAGGUCAUAACAGUAUAAUAGUACAUUUAAGAGAGAAUAUCCAUUACUUACAGUAGUAUAUUGACUGUGAUGUCUCAACAAUGGAUUUGUAAAAACUCUUGUAAUAGUGACUAUAAAAGCGAUUUAAAUAUCACGACAAUUCACGAUCUUCCAUAUUACUUGAAAAUGUCUGUCAUUACUGAAAUACAGUAUUUUCGAAGGUCUAAUUAAUAUGCAGUUAUCAUCCACUCACAUACCGUAUAUAGUGAUUUGUUGUACAACACUGUAAUUGAACACCGAUGUCAAUAGACUAAAACAUGAAUGUCACUAACAUACAGUGUAUGUACUUAUUAUAAUGAAUGACAACACACCUUAGAUUGAGCUGGCCUUUUGCAGUUUGGCCUUUUGCAGUAGUUCAAGUUGGCCGACCCAGCAGACUCAUACAACAUAAUGAAUGGUCAAGUUAACAAAAAAAUCUCGAAAAAAGGGCAUCAAAGUGAACAAGAUAGGAUGCUCCCCCAAGUUCCCAAUUCAACUGAGUUCAAAAGGAGUUCAUCUGUGAUAAAGUGACAACACUUAUUAUGUUAAUGUUUAGUGGACAA
rnacentral:lncRNA from 13 species